GUCACUUUGUCCGAGUGGUUAAGGAGGCGCCCUGCUAAGGCGUUGCGUUCUGCGCGCGCAGGUUCGAAUCCUGCAGGUGACG